CCUACGGGUGGCUGCAGUGGGGAAUAUUGCACAAUGGGGGAAACCCUGAUGCAGCGACGCCGCGUGAGUGAAGAAGUAUUUCGGUAUGUAAAACUCUAUUAGCAGGGAAGAAAAUGACGGUACCUGAUUAAGAAGCACCGGCUAACUCCGUGCCAGCAGCCGCGGGAAUACGUAGGGGGCAAGCGUUAUCCGGAUUUACUGGGCGUAAAGGGAGCGUAGACGGGAGGACAAGUCUGGAGUGAAAUGCCGGGGCUUAACCCCGGAACUGCUUUGGAAACUGUGCAUCUAGAGUGCAGGAGAGGUAGGUGGAAUUCCUGGUGUAGCGGUGAAAUGCGUAGAGAUCAGGAGGAACA
rnacentral:rRNA from 1 species